rnacentral:rRNA from 1 species
AUUGAACGCUGGCGGCAGGCCUAACACAUGCAAGUCGAGCGGAUGAAGGGAGCUUGCUCCUGGAUUCAGCGGCGGACGGGUGAGUAAUGCCUAGGAAUCUGCCUGGUAGUGGGGGAUAACGUCCGGAGACGGGCGCUAAUACCGCAUACGUCCUGAGGGAGAAAGUGGGGGAUCUUCGGACCUCACGCUAUCAGAUGAGCCUAGGUCGGAUUAGCUAGUUGGUGGGGUAAAGGCCUACCAAGGCGACGAUCCGUAACUGGUCUGAGAGGAUGAUCAGUCACACUGGAACUGAGACACGGUCCAGGCUCCUACGGGAGGCAGCAGUGGGGAAUAUUGGACAAUGGGCGAAAGCCUGAUCCAGCCAUGCCGCGUGUGUGAAGAAGGUCUUCGGAUUGUAAAGCACUUUAAGUUGGGAGGAAGGGCAGUAAGUUAAUACCUUGCUGUUUUGACGUUACCAACAGAAUAAGCACCGGCUAACUUCGUG